CCGUUGGAGUGGCAGACGGAGAUGCACAUGUGUAGUCAGCCGGCAUUUUUCGAGUCGUGUUGUAAAUGUUGUUAAUUCGCCGUAAAUAUCUCUUGAUUUGUACUCAAGGGUGGAGCAAGACCCCAAGGAAGAGAGAUUGACUCAUCGGGAGCGAAGAACAGAAACGAUGGAUGGUUACGCUGCUUGGGUCUCGGCACGUUCAAAUUGGCAAAGUUCCGAAUUUGUUGCUGUGUUGUGUCCGCUUGUGCGCUCGUUAUUUGCCGUCAUCGCUCGGAGAUAUUUGCGCUGGAUGUCUUUCACUUCGUGUACAAAACUCUGCUCGCUGCGGCAUCGAAGAAGUUGUCCUGUGUUUGGGUGCACGUAUGCGCUUGGACACGGAUAGCCUGCUUGCUCUCAACGGGUGUUCAACAGUCUACGCGCGCUGGUAACUUGCUCAUGAGGCAAGUUGCUGUUGUGCUGGAGCUGAGAAGAGGUCUGCUGCCUGCAAUGGGUCCAUCUCUCUCAAGUUAUUGCAGUAUUAUAGCUCUCAAGGUUCAAAAAAAGUAUGGUGGAAGCUGUUGCCAAGGUUCCGACCAGAAAAGACAGCCAGUAUAAAAGGGUCCACGCCACUGAUCUCUACUACAGGGGAUGAACAGCACAUCGAGCGCCCUCGACUGAAGCCGGCCUUGUCCCGGAAGUUGGUGCUUGACAACUUUGCGGCAGCACUUUGUUGCACGGCCUGUGGAGACAAGGUUUCUUAGACAUGGCCGUGGCCCUCAAGGAAGAUGCCGAGGCCACAGGCAGUUCCUCCAGUGACCGUGAAAAGGUCCCCUGGGGCACAAGUCUGGUUUGGCACCCCCACCUUUCUCCUGCAGCUUUUCUGUCUACUUAGCUAACCAGCAGCAAGUUUAUCCUUGCAAGUGUUUGGAGUCAAGAACAACUUUCACCAGGAAGAAGUGCAAGACGAGUGAUUGAAGAAAAUAAAGUUGCU